rnacentral:rRNA from 1 species
ACUACGGGAGGCAGCAGUAGGGAAUAUUGCUCAAUGGGGGAAACCCUGAAGCAGCAACGCCGCGUGGAGGAUGAAGGUUUUAGGAUUGUAAACUCCUUUUGUUUGAGAAGAAAAUGACGGUAUCUAACGAAUAAGCACCGGAUAACUCCGUGACAGCAGCCGCGGUAAUACGGAGGGUGCAAGCGUUACUCGGAACAACUGGGCGUAAAGAGUGCGUAGGCGGGGUAAGAAGUCAGGUGUGAAAACCUGUAGGCUAACUACAGAACCGCAGUUGAAACUGUUACUCUGGAGUGUGGGAGAGGUAGGUGGAAUUCUUGGUGUAGGGGUGAAAUCCGUAGAGAUCAAGAGGAAUACUCAUUGCGAAGGCGACCUGCUGGAACAUUACUGACGCUGAUGCACGAAAGCGUGGGGAGCAAACAGGAUUAGAUACCCUAGUAGUC